AGAGAGAGAGGGAGAGAGAGAGCGAGAAGCAGAGGGAAAAGCAGGCUCUGUGCAGGGAGCCGGACACAGGACUUGAUCCCGGGGGUCCAGGAUCAUACCCCCGGGAGAAGGCGGCGCUAAACCACUGGGCCACUGGGGUUGUCCUACUUGGGGUCUUUUAAUGAAAGACUUUCAGGGGGUAUAAUGAAGGAGAAACAAAUUUUUCAUGAGUUGAAAACUUACUGGGAGAUGAAGUGGAAACCAUGAGGACACAACUCUCUUGAGAACUCUGGCUGCAAAAGAGCUACCACUUCAUAACGGAGUGGUUGUGACAGAGAUCUUCUGGACCACCAACUGAAGAUAUUGACUAUCUGGUCCUCUUGCAGAAGAUGUUCGUCAGUCUCUGUUCUAGAGGAAAGAUGGGAAGGUUUCAGAGGAAGCAUAACCUUGAGAAAUAUUUCAAGCAUUCAGAAAAGAGAAUAAUAGAACACCCAUGUAAUCCACUACCUAGAUCUUAAAAGUGCCAAUAUUUUACUAUACCUUCAGAGCUUAAUAAAAAGAAUAAAAACAUUACAGCCAGUCUUCUGCUCUUUGAAACUUGCCCAAAUUGUUGAAAACAGAAGCAGAUACAUCUGAAAGAUUCUCAGUGGAAGAUAUGAAAUAAUUUGGUCUCAAUUGUCUUCUCUUUCUGUCCUUUUUUUCCCUUCAUCUCCCUUCCCUCUUUUUCUCUCUUGCUCUGUUAAGGAUUUUGAAUAUAAGAAGAAACAGCAAAAGGAGAAGCUUGUCAGGAGGGUGUGACUUUAGCACCCAUCUUCCAGAAAAGAGCAGACAUUUUUCAGGAGCAGCUAACAGCUAUCACAUGCUGGCUAAGUGCAAGAACCCGUGCUAAGCAUUUUACGUUCGUUUGGUGAUCCUCAGUGUGACCCUUGGAGGUUUUCCUUGCCCAAGGCCCUGAGCUAGUAGGUGGAGAGUCUAACCAAGGAUCCAGAGCUGUUGUGCUUAACCAUUCAGAAAGAGAAGCCAUGUUGAUCCCAAGAAGGGACAGUGCUAGGUGAGCUAUUAACAGUGAGGAGUCCCCCAGAGCUAGUGCUUUAACAACUUUUGGUAUGAUUCUAUUUCCAAAUUAAGUAUCAUAAUUAUUGUUCGUAACAAAUAAUAAUAAAGCAGUAAACAAAGAAUGUUUAGACAAAUUUUUGGUUUUCAAAAAAAGAGCUUGUUUAUUCUCAUUACAAGAAAAAACCUUUUGUUAACUACCUAUGGUGACAGAUGUUAACUCAACUUAUUAGUGAUGAUCUUUUUGCAAUAUACACAAAUAUCAAAUUAUUUUU